AUACGGAGGAUCCGAGCGUUAUCCGGAUUUAUUGGGUUUAAAGGGUGCGCAGGCGGCCAUUUAAGUCAGCGGUUAAAUCGUGGGGCUCAACCCCAUUCUGCCGUUGAUACUGGGUGGCUUGAUUGCGGUCGAGGUUGGCGGAAUUCGUUGUGUAGCGGUGAAAUGCAUAGAUAUGACGAAGAACACCGAUUGCGUAGGCAGCUGACCAGACCGCAAAUGACGCUCAUGCACGAAAGUGCGGGGAUCGAACAGGAUUAGAUACCCUGGUAGUCCGCACAGUAAACGAUGAAUACUUGUUUUCGGCGAUAUAAUGUCGGAGGCAAAGCGAAAGCGAUAAGUAUUCCACCUGGGGAGUACGCCGGCACCGGUGAAACUCAAAUGAAUUGACGGGG
rnacentral:rRNA from 1 species